rnacentral:rRNA from 1 species
ACUAACGCUGGCGGCGUGCCUAACACAUGCAAGUCGAACGGGCCGUAGCAAUACGGUUAGUGGCAGACGGGUGAGUAACGCGUAGAUAACGUACCCCUCCGCUGGGGAUAGCCACUGGAAACGGUGGGUAAAACCGAAUAUUCUUUCUGGGAGGCAUCUUCUGGAAAGGAAAACUCAGGUGUGGAGGGAGCGGUUUGCGUCCUAUCAGCUAGUUGGUGGGGUAACGGCCCACCAAGGCGACGACGGGUAGCCGGUCUGAGAGGAUGGCCAGCCACAUCGGGACUGAGAAACGGCCCAGACUCCUACGGGAGGCAGCAGUGGGGAAUAUUGCGCAAUGGCCUAACGGCUGACGCAGCGACGCCGCGUGGAGGAUGACGCCUUUCGGGGUGUAAACUCCUGUUGCCCGGGACGAACCUCUCCUUUCGAGGAGACUGACGGUACCGGGUGAGGAAGCACCGGCUAACUCCGUGCCAGCAGCCGCGGUAAUACGGAGGGUGCGAGCGUUGUCCGGAAUCACUGGGCGUAAAGGGCGCGUAGGUGGCUUCUUAAGCGGGUGGUGAAAGUCCGGGGCUCAACUCCGGAUCGGCCAUGCGAACUGGGGAGCUUGAGCGUAGUAGAGGCAGGUGGAAUUCCGGGUGUAGCGGUGGAAUGCGUAGAGAUCCGGAAGAAACACCGGUGGCGAAGGCGGCCUGCUGGGCUACAGCUGACACUGAGGCGCGACAGCGUGGGGAGCAAACAGGAUUAGAUACCUUGGUAGUCCACGCCGUAAACGAUGGGCACUAGAUGCCUGGGGGAGCGACCCCCUGGGUGUCGGCGCUAACGCAUUAAGUGCCCCGCCUGGGGAGUACGGCCGCAAGGCUGAAACUCAAAGGAAUUGACGGGGGCCCGCACAAGCGGUGGAGCAUGUGGUUUAAUUCGACGCAACGCGAAGAACCUUACCUGGGCUUGACAUGCAUGGGAAACCCCUGAGAAACCAGGGGCCCUCUUCGGAGCUCAUGCACAGGUGCUGCAUGGCUGUCGUCAGCUCGUGUCGUGAGAUGUUAGGUUAAGUCCCGCAACGAGCGCAACCCUCGUCUCUAGUUACCAGCGGGUAAAGCCGGGCACUCUAGAGAGACUGCCGGUGCCAAACCGGAGGAAGGUGGGGACGACGUCAAGUCAUCAUGGUCCUUACGUCCAGGGCUACACACGUGCUACAAUGGCCGGUACAGAGGGCUGCCAACUCGCGAGAGUGCGCCAAUCCUGAAAGCCGGCCUCAGUUCGGAUUGUAGUCUGCAACUCGACUACAUGAAGCUGGAAUCGCUAGUAAUCGUGGAUCAGCUACGCCACGGUGAAUACGUUCCCGGGCCUUGUACACACCGCCCGUCACGCCAUGGAAGCUGCGAGCGCCCGAAGUCGGUGUCGGAACCCUCACGGGGCCAAGCCGCCGAAGGCGAGCGCAGUGACUGGGGCG